rnacentral:lncRNA from 1 species
UGAGCAUAUCGCUGAAGAAGAUGUAGAUCCUGGAGUAGGGUGUGCAUACAAAGCCAGGGAGGGAAGCAUUAUAUGGUACCACUGCCCAUAUGAAAAGCUUGCAAAUUUACCAGCCAUGAAUGAAUAAUACGCCAUGAUUGCGAGCUUCAAGGAGAGAGGAGCAGUUUCCAGCAGAGGACCAUAAUUGCGAGCUUAAGGAGGGCAGCGUAGUUUCAAGCAGGGGAGGAGCCCGCCAUUAUCUCCCUCGCCCCCACCUUUCUUCACACGCAUUAGCGCAUCUUGUUCCUCCGGUCGGGAUUCACCGGGGCGCUGCUCCUCUCCUCAGGUCGCUGGGAACCACCGGUAGUCUCGAUUCCCUAAGCCUCGAUCGGGAUUGGGCGGCUGGAUGGAUCGGGAUUGGGCGGCUGGAUGGAUCGGGAUUGGUAUUGGGAACGACCGCCAGUCUCGUUCCCCUCCAGCUUCGAUCCGAUUGGGCAAGCAGAUUAGGGUUCGGGAGUGGAUGGACCCAACGCGUAGCUCGUAGGCCUCCCUCUUUCGAAUGGGCUGCUGGCUCGCGAAGGCGCAAUGCACCAGAAUCGUCCGUUUUGCCCCGUGGAACAGUAGCCCACAGGAUAGAUGGGCUAGAUUAGCCAGACUGCAAAACAGAUCGCUUUUUACAUUAAAUCUGGGCCAGAAACUAUCAGAUCGCCAAAACGGACGGUCAAAAACCCAAAUCAUAUAGUACCACUACGCAUAUGAAAAGCUUGCAAAUUUACCAGCCAUGAAUGAAUAAUACGCCAUGAUUGCGAGCUUCAAGGAGAGAGGAGCAGUUUCCAGCAGAGGACCAUGAUUGCGAGCUUAAGGAGGGCAGAGCAGUUUCAAGCAGGGGAGGAGCCCGCCAUUACCUCCCUCGCCCCCACCUUUUUUCACACGCAUUAACGCAUCAUGUUCCUCCGGUCGGGAUUCACCGGGUCGCUGCUCCUCUCCUCAGGUCGCUGGGAACCACCGGUAGUCUCGAUUCCCUAAGCCUCGAUCGGGAUUGGGCGGC